rnacentral:rRNA from 1 species
UACGUAGGGGGCAAGCGUUGUCCGGAAUUAUUGGGCGUAAAGCGCGUGUAGGCGGCUCGGUAAGUCUGCUGUGAAAGUCCAGGGCUCAACCCUGGAAUGCCGGUGGAUACUGUCGAGCUAGAGUCCGGGAAGAGGAGAGUGGAAUUCCUGGUGUAGCGGUGAAAUGCGCAGAUAUCAGGAAGAACACCCGUGGCGAAGGCGGCUCUCUGGGACGGUACUGACGCUGAGACGCGAAAGCGUGGGGAGCGAACAGG